rnacentral:rRNA from 1 species
UGGGGAAUAUUGCACAAUGGGCGCAAGCCUGAUGCAGCAACGCCGCGUGAACGAUGAAGGUCUUCGGAUCGUAAAGUUCUGUUGCAGGGGAAGAUAAUGACGGUACCCUGUGAGGAAGCCCCGGCUAACUACGUGCCAGCAGCCGCGGUAAUACGUAGGUGGCAAGCGUUGUCCGGAAUUAUUGGGCGUAAAGCGCGCGCAGGUGGUUUAGAAAGUCUGAUGUGAAAGCCCACGGCUCAACCGUGGAGGGUCAUUGGAAACUAAUAAACUUGAGUGCAGGAGAGAAAAGUGGAAUUCCUAGUGUAGCGGUGAAAUGCGUAGAGAUUAGGAGGAACACCGGUGGCGAAAGCGGCUUUUUGGCCUGCAACUGACACUGAGGCGCGAAAGCGUGGGGAGCAAACAGG